AAAAACAAAUUUGAAAGCUCAAAUUGAAGAAAACUUAGCACAAAUGGCUUCUUACUUGCUAAAAUCCAAAUAUCUGUGUUGUUUCAAGAGGAGAGAGCGAGAGCGAGGUGUAGGAGGAGAUGUUGCAGGAAAUCAGAUCCUAUUCCAAGGGAAAGAGCGGCAGGUAGUGAACCGAUAAAUUAUCUUAUUAGUUGAACUUUUGGGCGAGGGAACGUAGCCUGAGUUGUUGUUCAACCAUAGUUGAACCUUUGCAAUUCUUGUUGUCGAAGGCACAUAGCCUGAGCUAGCGGAGGCGGCGUCCAUAAAUUUUAAUAUUCGAAGGGUGAUAUUUGGGGCAUUGGAAUGAGGAUAGGGAGAAGAUUCAAGGGUGUAAAUUUUGGAUUCAUCGGAGCAUCACCGCCGGUAAAGGUGAUUUUCGGACGGACGACGGAAGGCGGAAGGUAGUGGUGAUAUUAGGGCUAAUCUGUGUCGAUACCUGCG
rnacentral:lncRNA from 1 species